UACGGAGGGAGCUAGCGUUGUUCGGAAUUACUGGGCGUAAAGCGCGCGUAGGCGGCUUUGUAAGUUAGAGGUGAAAGCCCGGGGCUCAACCCCGGAACUGCCUUUAAGACUGCAUCGCUUGAAUCCGGGAGAGGUGAGUGGAAUUCCGGGUGUAGAGGUGAAAUUCGUAGAUAUUCGGAAGAACACCAGUGGCGAAGGCGGCUCACUGGACCGGCAUUGACGCUGAUGUGCGAAAGCGUGGGGAGCAAACAGG
rnacentral:rRNA from 1 species